AUAAGACCUUAAACUAUACAAUCCUAGAAGAAAACCUAGGAAAUACUUCUCUUGAUAUCAGCCAUGGCAAAGGAUUUAUGGCUAAGCCCUCAAAGGUAAUUCCAGCAAACACAAAAAUUGACAAGUGGGUUCUAAUCAAUCUAAACAUCUUCUGCACAGGAAAAGAAACUAUCAAGGGAGUAAACAGAAAACCUACAGAAUGGAAGAAAAUAUUUGCAAACUAUGCAUCCAUCAAAGGUUUAAUAUCCCACAUCUAUGAGGAAUUUAAAUCAACAAGCAAAGAAACCAAGUAACCUCAUCAAAAAGUGUGCAAAGAACAUGAACAGACACUUCUAAAGAGAAAACAUACAAGUGGCCAAGAAACAUAUGAAAAAAGGUUCAUGAUUGCUAGUCAUCAGAGAAAUGCAAAGAAAUUGUCUCUAAAAGGCUCCUGAUGCUCCACCGGUGAAUGGUAAAGCCUGGGGAAAAUAAAUAUGACUUCUGUGACAUCAGUUAUAUUAAUGGGAGACUCUGGAGCACUAUUGAAAUAGUUCCUUGCGGGUGUGAGAGGAAGGUCCUCACUGUGGGAGGAUGGAACACGGAAGAGGAAAGCAAAGCAGGAUGAACACAGAGUGAGACAGCCAGGCACAGCAAGGCAGCAGCUUCUGUUUCCUGCAGAGAUCAAGGAAUACAGGUAUCUGAAGCUUAAGGACAGGUGGCCUAUUGACUCUGCGUAGAGCAAUGGUGCUCACUUGGCAACACUCACAAUUGAAUCAGUGUCAAAUUGGUAUGUGUGGAGUAGAGUUUGGACAAGGCGAGUCCUACUCUACCUGUAACUGGCAAUGUCAUCUAGCGAACUGUGUAAGUACUUAUGUACCCUCUAUAGGCUCCCCUUUAUGAGAUCCCAAGAAUUGAAGAGUACUGCAAGUUUGAUCCUACUUACCCUAACUGGAUUAACCAAAUCUUGCCGACUUGUGUUUAUUACUAGUACUAAAUAUGAUCUAUGGUGAUAUUCGCUCCUUUUAUUAAUUCAUAUUAAACUUAUGGUAUACUAGAAUUUUGAGUAUUAUCUCAUACGUAGCAUUUAAAUUUGUCAUGGAUUGAUACCUUGGACCCUGGAGUCACAGUGCUUGGUUUCAAUUUUGGCUUACCUGCUGGUUUUUGUUUUCUCACUAGCAAACUGAGGGGUAGUAAUGACAAUACUUCCCACAUAGAUUGUGAGGAUAAGUUGUCCAGGUAAAUCACUCAACACAGAACCUGAUACAUGAGAAGAGUUCUUUAAACAUUAUCAAUUAAUACUUUUAUUGUCAUCUUUACUUUCUUCUGAAACUAGUCUAUUGAUUCAAGACCAUGGCAUGUGACUCACUGUUCAAGCACAUGGAUUUUCUCCUGGAUAUUCAUUCAUUUUUACAGUAUAUUGACUAUCCCUGCCACCAUAAUAUAAACAAUAUAGCUGAAGAGCACUCCUUGGUGUUUUUCUCUCUGACUUUUCUAUCGGUAUGUAGAAUGUUACAGUAACAUCAUAGGCAUGGAUAAUUAACACUUACCAAUGGCCAAAGGCAUUAGAAAAUGCAGACAAAAAUCUUGGCUACUCAUUUCUUGGGCAUAAACAAUUUGGUUCUUUCGGAUGUCAACAAUUUUGCAUAAAAUGUUAAUUUUCAAGAAAAGAGAAUCUAUAAUUUAUACUUCACUUAGGUUUAUAAGAAAGAAAAUCUCACUUUUAAUCCCUUGUUGAUGUGUAAACAUACUGCAAACCCAAAGAAAAAGAAAAGUGAGAUUCAGCAGUAUUUACAUUCCUUCUCUUAAGGUAAUUGAUUCCAAAUCCUUAUUCAUAGUUGUCUUCAGUUUUCACUUGAUAAAUCUGUCUUUCCAGUUUUGUCUUUCUUUUUUUUUAAGCAUCGUGAAUAGUUUGAUGCAUUUUCCUAAACCUUUCCAUUUGGCAAAUCCCUACAUACCCUUUAAGAUCCAUGUCCAAAAUGACUUUGAAGUAACAUUUCGAUUAAUUGUUUUUCCUUUGUGUCUUCUUAAUAUUUCAGGCACACAUUGGCUUUAGUUUUUAUCAUACUGUCUGUACUGUAAUUUUUCUAUGUCUUGCUCAUUAA